GAGACUGGAAUCCAGUGAGGUCACACGGGUGUUCUGGAAGCCAGUGAUGCCGUACUGGAAUCUGGGGACACCAUGAGGCAAUGUUUCAGCUGCCCCUGCAUUCCUCACCUCCCAUUGUUUCUGUCUCUCUCUCUCCAUCUCCCUUCCCCCCACCACCAAGAGCACAGACCCCACAGUGAGAAUUCUAAGCUUCAUUCCACAUCCAGGACCAGCAAAGAUCCACCAUCAGGGUUUUAACAAAACAUUCACAUUUAUUCUCCUGAGCAUAACAGGAAAUGAAUGCUGGGUGAAUGCAAAGCCAGCAUGGUGAAUGUGCCCUGCAGAUCACCUGGGUGUCACCUGACCAUGACAAAGCCCUUGAACAAAAGCUCAGUAGUACCAAGAUCUGUGUGCUCCUCCAUGUUUCCCAGCCUUGCUGGUUGACACCUACCUCAGCUGACUGGCUUCUGGCUAAUGAAAUAUGACCAGAGAUACAAGCCACCUGAGGCCUGCCCUUCGAAACGUCCUCCAGCUCUUUCUUCCAUGGUGUCCUUAGAUGCCUCAUAUGCCACAUUUAUCAGAUCACCUGAUACCUCCAAGCAACCAGGUGUUUCUUUCAGAAGCCAGAAGCUGAUAACCUGGACCCACUAAUCUAACCCCCAGUCCAUGUUCUUUGUAGUGGAAGACUGACAGCAGAGAUUCUUUCUCCUGGGAGUGCUCCUGCAUGACUGCAUCUACUUAACCCACUCUCCAAGAUCUAGAAUCAGAUUUCAACCAUAUGGAAUCAUCCACGGUGCAGCAGAUGGGUUUACAAGUCUCUUGGUCUCUUCGUGUAACUAACAGCCAAGAAGUCUGAAGCUUGCAUUGUUUACAUGGAAGAUGUUUCUUGCUCUUCUCUUGCCCAUUCCCACGCCAUACCAUCUGAACUUGCCACCUUUUUUUU